rnacentral:rRNA from 1 species
ACGGCGAGUGAAGCGGGAAGAGCUCAAAUUUGAAAUCUGGCGGCAUCCUGUCGUCCGAGUUGUAAUCUAUAGAAGUGUUUUCCGCGGCGGACCAUGUACAAGUCCCUUGGAACAGGGCGUCAUAGAGGGUGAGAAUCCCGUCCUUGACAUGAUCUCCGGUUGCUAUGUGAUACACUUUCAACGAGUCGAGUUGUUUGGGAAUGCAGCUCAAAAUGGGUGGUGAAUUCCAUCUAAAGCUAAAUAUUGGCGAGAGACCGAUAGCGAACAAGUACCGUGAGGGAAAGAUGAAAAGCACUUUGGAAAGAGAGUUAAACAGUACGUGAAAUUGUUGAAAGGGAAACGAUUGAAGUCAGUCAUGCUCUUUGGGUUAAGCCGUUCGCGGUGUAUUCCAUUGAGUGGGGUCAACAUCAGUUUUGACCGCUGGAAAAAGGCACGAGGAAGGUAGCACUCUCGGGUGAACUUAUAGCCUCGCGUCAUAUACAGUGGUUGGGACUGAGGAACGCAGCAUGCCUUAUGGCCGGGAUUCGUCCACGUACAUGCUUAGGAUGUU